ensembl:lncRNA
GAAGCGCCGCUGUAGAGGAUAAUUUUUUAUUUAUUUUUUAUUUUUUUUUACAUCAAAAGCCCUACUCGGACUGUAAUUGUUUCUCAGGGGGACGUCCACUCAUUUCUGCAUGCGGCCAGAAUGAGAAUAACUACAGUAUUUCUUAUCUAAGGGCUGCAAAUUGAAUAUUUCAUUCCAAAAUAAUCAGCAGCCAAGAGCAGAGCUGAGCACAGCAGAAGACUGCAAGUAAGCGUCCAGCUGAACCAGACAGCUUUGAUGUAGCAGAUAAGACAUGAGACCAGACAGGUGGUGGCAAGUACUGAUGCCAGCCAGUGUGUUUUUUUCUAUCGCAGAUUGUGGACAAAUGGAUUUGAAAUGCGUUGUAUUCAGACUUGACAGUCAAAAUGCAAAAAUGACUUCAGGAUUAAUUGUCCUGGCUAUCCCUUAUCCAGCAUAUAUCUGCAUUAUGGUGAUACAACUGAAAAUUGUUUUUUUUUUUUUUUUUAAAAAGCAUUAAGUGGAUAGUGGAUUUGCUGGCUUUAAAAACAGACAUUAUGACAAAACUACUAACUAUCACAUAAAUACAUAAAUCAGUUUAUUCUACAGCCUUUGGUGGAUGAAAGCUAACCGCAAUAUAUUUUGUGCAUGCAUCUCCACUCCCCCCUCCUCUUUUGCCUAAAGGGCCAAAGAAAUAUUAAAAACGAGAUAUGAAGUAAUCAUUAAUAUUAAGCCCACAGCCAC